UGAGGAAUAUUGCACAAUGGGGGCAACCCUGAUGCAGCGACGCCGCGUGAGUGAAGAAGGCCUUCGGGUCGUAAAGCUCUUUUCUGCGUGACGAGCAAGGACGGUAGCGCAGGAAUAAGUCUCGGCUAACUACGUGCCAGCAGCCGCGGUAAAACGUAGGAGACAAACGUUAUCCGGAGUUACUGGGCGUAAAGGGCAUGCAGGCGGUUGAUUAAGUCUAGCGUGAAAGCUCCCGGCUAAACCGGGAGAGGUCGUUGGAUACUGGUUGACUAGAGGACGGUAGAGGCGAGUGGAAUUCCGGGUGUAGUGGUGAAAUGCGUAGAGAUCCGGAGGAACACCAGUGGCGAAGGCGACUCGCUGGGCCGUACCUGACGCUAAGACGCGACAGCAUGGGGAGCGAA
rnacentral:rRNA from 1 species